AGAGUUUGAUCCUGGCUCAGAUUGAACGCUGGCGGCAGGCCUAACACAUGCAAGUCGAACGGUAACAGGAAGAAGCUUGCUUCUUUGCUGACGAGUGGCGGACGGGUGAGUAAUGUCUGGGAAACUGCCUGAUGGAGGGGGAUAACUACUGGAAACGGUAGCUAAUACCGCAUAACGUCGCAAGACCAAAGAGGGGGACCUUCGGGCCUCUUGCCAUCGGAUGUGCCCAGAUGGGAUUAGCUUGUUGGUGGGGUAACGGCUCACCAAGGCGACGAUCCCUAGCUGGUCUGAGAGGAUGACCAGCCACACUGGAACUGAGACACGGUCCAGACUCCUACGGGAGGCAGCAGUGGGGAAUAUUGCACAAUGGGCGCAAGCCUGAUGCAGCCAUGCCGCGUGUAUGAAGAAGGCCUUCGGGUUGUAAAGACUUUUCAGCGGGGAGGAAGGGAGUAAAGUUAAUACCUUUGCUCAUUGACGUUACCCGCAGAAGAAGCACCGGCUAACUCCGUGCCAGCAGCCGCGGUAGUACGGAGGGUGCAAGCGUUAAUCGGAAUUACUGGGCGUAAAGCGCACGCAGGCGGUUUGUUAAGUCAGAUGUGAAAUCCCCGGGCUCAACCUGGGAACUGCAUCUGAUACUGGCAAGCUUGAGUCUCGUAGAGGGGGGUAGAAUUCCAGGUGUAGCGGUGAAAUGCGUAGAGAUCUGGAGGAAUACCGGUGGCGAAGGCGGCCCCCUGGACGAAGACUGACGCUCAGGUGCGAAAGCGUGGGGAGCAAACAGGAUUAGAUACCCUGGUAGUCCACGCCGUAAACGAUGUCGACUUGGAGGUUGUGCCCUUGAGGCGUGGCUUCCGGAGCUAACGCGUUAAGUCGACCGCCUGGGGGAGUACGGCCGCAAGGUUAAAACUCAAAUGAAUUGACGGGGGCCCGCACAAGCGGUGGAGCAAGUGGGUUUAAUUCGAUGCAACGCGAAGAACCUUACCUGGUCUUGACAUCCACAGAACUUUCCAGAGAUGGAUUGGUGCCUUCGGGAACUGUGAGACAGGUGCUGCAUGGCUGUCGUCAGCUCGUGUUGUGAAAUGUUGGGUUAAGUCCCGCAACGAGCGCAACCCUUAUCCUUUGUUGCCAGCGGUCCGGCCGGGAACUCAAAGGAGACUGCCAGUGAUAAACUGGAGGAAGGUGGGGAUGACGUCAAGUCAUCAUGGCCCUUACGACCAGGGCUACACACGUGCUACAAUGGCGCAUACAAAGAGAAGCGACCUCGCGAGAGCAAGCGGACCUCAUAAAGUGCGUCGUAGUCCGGAUUGGAGUCUGCAACUCGACUCCAUGAAGUCGGAAUCGCUAGUAAUCGUGGAUCAGAAUGCCACGGUGAAUACGUUCCCGGGCCUUGCACACACCGCCCGUC
rnacentral:rRNA from 1 species